UUUAAAUUUUACCUUCUUUAUCUUAUUGUAGACUCUUUCUUGAAAGCCAUACCAUAUUUCUUCAUGUGGUAUGUUAGUACAGAAACCACUCAAGAAGUCAUGUGACUGCCAGUAUAAUCCAAAAUUCUGAGUAGAAAAAAGAGGCAGUUUUUGUAAUGAACUAUAUCACAGUGUUUUGGGGCUGGAGUACCACAAUGAUAUAAACAAUAUAGGGCCCUGUACAAAAACUGAAAGAUGGAAAAAUGGCUAUAUGUUUUUGAGAUAAAAUUACAUAAAAGCCUGAAAUAUGUCAGGAGACAAAUCAAAUGUUCUUUUCAUAUUUUCAUUUAUCCUGGAAAAAUAAAUCUCAUGGAGUUGCCAAAACAUGGAAGAAAGGGAGAACUUGGGAUUUCUGUACUUGAUCAAGCUAUUUGAAAUCAUUGAACUAUUCAAUUAUUGUUUGCUCCCUUCCAGGUUCAGAAGAAAGUGUGGAUUAAAAUACCCUCAUGGGAUUUUAUACAUGGAUCAGUAGGAUACGUAUCUGGCUUUUCUUCUUUUUUUAAACCGACUUACAGAUACAGCAAGGAAAGAGUUAUUUAUUGGACUAGGUAUUAAUGGUGUGAUAACAGAUAAGCUUGUAUUUGGAAGUGGAACCACUCUCACAGUCGAACCAAGCAAUCAGAAAGAUUCUGACCCAGAAGUCAUUCUGAUAAAAUCAAAGCCACUUGAAGAAGGUGGCAGUACUGGGAAAGCAGCUUGUUUGGCAAGGAAUUUCUAUCCAAAGAAUAUCAAUUUGGACAUGUUACCUGCUGAAGUCAUAUAUGAACAGAAUACACCUAUUGUGACAUCAGAAGGGACAUAUAAUACUAUUAAAGUGGUCAACGUGACAAAAGCCUCAGAGGUAUCCUGCACGGCCAAGUUCAAGGGCAAUUUUUUUCCAGCCAAUGCAACAUCAUCAGAAAAGGUGGUUGAAGAACCAAUAACAGCAAAUGUUUGCAACACAACAGACACCUCUUCAAAAGGAGAUAUCAAAACAGAGAAAACAAACAUGCUGUCCAUGGCUGUGUUGGGUUUACGAGUCCUGCUGGCAAAAAGUAUCGCCUUCAAUACACUCAUGAGCAUCAAGUUGUUUCUUUUCUGAGGUAAGGAAAUGCAUUGUUUCAUCUGUGGAAAAAUUGAAAGCACGUGCCAGUAAUGACUGCUUGGCUUUGUGUACUUCUCAAACCCCACAAGGAGUGACAUCUGUUCAUCUACUCCUGUUUCCAUUAAUAAAUGUUGUAGGUUUAUGGAAACA
rnacentral:lncRNA from 1 species